UACGAAGGGUGCAAGCGUUACUCGGAAUUACUGGGCGUAAAGCGUGCGUAGGUGGUUUGUUAAGUCUGUUGUGAAAGCCCCGGGCUCAACCUGGGAAUUGCAAUGGAUACUGGCAAGCUAGAGUGCGGUAGAGGGUAGUGGAAUUCCCGGUGUAGCGGUGAAAUGCGUAGAGAUCGGGAGGAACACCAGUGGCGAAGGCGGCUACCUGGACGAGUACUGACACUGAGGAGCGAAAGCCAGGGGAGCAAACGGG
rnacentral:rRNA from 1 species